rnacentral:rRNA from 1 species
AACGAACGCUGGCGGCAGGCCUAACACAUGCAAGUCGAACGCCCCGCAAGGGGAGUGGCAGACGGGUGAGUAACGCGUGGGAACGUGCCCUUCGGUUCGGAAUAACUCAGGGAAACUUGAGCUAAUACCGGAUACGUCCGUAAGGAGAAAGAUUUAUCGCCGAAGGAUCGGCCCGCGUUGGAUUAGCUAGUUGGCGGGGUAAAAGCCCACCAAGGCGACGAUCCAUAGCUGGUCUGAGAGGACGAUCAGCCACACUGGGACUGAGACACGGCCCAGACUCCUACGGGAGGCAGCAGUGGGGAAUAUUGGACAAUGGGCGAAAGCCUGAUCCAGCCAUGCCGCGUGAGUGAUGAAGGCCCUAGGGUUGUAAAGCUCUUUCGCCAGGGACGAUAAUGACGGUACCUGGAUAAGAAGCCCCGGCUAACUUCGUGCCAGCAGCCGCGGUAAUACGAAGGGGGCUAGCGUUGUUCGGAAUCACUGGGCGUAAAGCGCUUGUAGGCGGACUGUUAAGUCGGGGGUGAAA